AAAAGAUUAAAAACAACAAAUUAAAUUCAGGUUAAUAGUUUUCAGCUUCAUUUAAUAUCUAGAUACACAAGACAUGCCUCCAUCCUUCCUGUUUCACACUCAUCACAAGCACAGAGAUAGGUUCUGACAGAGAGCACUCAGAAUAACCACUGUUGGAAUUUUCCACUCCUGAGCAACUUUUUUUUCUUUUUUUGGUAUUGUACAGUACAGCUAGAUAUGAUGAAAAUAGUUUGUUUUUUUACAGGUUGUUUGGACAGGUUCCGCUGGUUUCUUGCAGCUGCACAUGUCUUCAUUUUACUGAGACCAUAGUGUUAUGCAUGUAAAUAAGUUUGUACAUGUUACAAACAAAUUCAGUGCAGGCAAGAGCAAUUUACAUCCUCUUUAAUAUUUAUGUUUGUUGCCCCUUCAUUAACAUAAGAUAAUUUCUCCAACUUUAUAAAACUUAUCUAAACAUUCAAAUUUAAAUUGUUUGAUUUUUAUUUUAUGCUGUCCUGAGUUGUUCAAGACGGUUAGAAGCUUCCUUGAAAGGAUGUUGACUCAUCAGGUGGAGGCCAGCCUAGAAUUUAGUCACUAGUUUACACAUUUUACCAAGCGGCACGGUCAUGUGCCGUCACCAUAUCGAUCCAUCUGUGAAUGAUGCCAGGAACCGAUUCUUGAGAAGAAACAAGAACCAGACCAUCAGGUGGCCUGAGGAACUUCAAAUUAGAGCGCCCUCUACUAGAUAAAUCCCAACCCUGGACAAUUGACUUACCAUUGAAGCACAGAAGGUGAGGCCUUCUGUAGAUGACCAUUGUACAUGUGUGACUUUAAAAUCGCCAUCCGAUUAAGUUGCCUGUUUUUUGACAUGAAUGUGAUAUAACUCAAAAAAGGUUGCUUUCUUUCCAUAAUCUUUGAGAUAUAGUGGUGCUAAACUCCACUUGAUUUUCUGUGAUGAUCCCAGUUGUAGGAUCUCAGCCUCCAGAGAAAAUUCUAAGGACUGCAUCUUAGGCUAAAGAAUACUGGUGUUUAAGA
ensembl:lncRNA